rnacentral:tRNA from 1 species
UGCGGGAUCGUCUAAUGGUAGGACAAUGGAUUCUGGAUCCAUUAAUUCAGGUUCGAGUCCUGAUCCCGCAGCCA